rnacentral:rRNA from 1 species
UGGGGAAUCUUGCACAAUGGGCGAAAGCCUGAUGCAGCAACGCCGCGUGCGGGAAGACAGCCCUAGGGUUGUAAACCGCUUUCAGCAGGGAAGAAACUGACGGUACCUGCAGAAGAAGAUGCGGCCAACUACGUGCCAGCAGCCGCGGUGACACGUAGGCAUCAAGCGUUAUCCGGAUUUAUUGGGCGUAAAGAGCUCGUAGGCGGUUCGGUAAGUCGGGUGUGAAAACUCUGGGCUCAACCCAGAGAGGCCACUCGAUACUGCUGUGACUAGAGUGCGGUAGGGGAGCGGGGAAUUCCUGGUGUAGCGGUGAAAUGCGCAGAUAUCAGGAGGAACACCAGUGGCGAAGGCGCCGCUCUGGGCCGUAACUGACGCUGAGGAGCGAAAGCAUGGGUAGCAAACAGGAUUAGAUACCCUGGUAGUCCACACCGUAAACGAUGAAUGCCAGUCGUCGGGUAGCAUGCUAUUCGGUGACACACCUAACGGAUUAAGCAUUCCGCCUGGGAGUACGGUCGCAAGGUUAAAAC